AUACUAGGAAACAAUAUCAAUAUAAAUUGUAAGGGUACAAGUAACAAAGUUACAGUCAUGCAGUCAUAAGUGGGAGGAGAUGGGUGACAGGAACGAUGAGAAGACUUAAUAAUAAGACUUAGUGAAUAGUUUGACAGUGUUGAGGGAAUUAUUUGUUUAGCAGAGUGAUGGUGCUGGGGAAAAAACUGUUCUUGUGUCUAGUUGUUCUGGUGUGCAGUGCUCUAUAGCGUCGUGUUGAGGGUAGGAGUUGAAACAAUUUAUGUGCAGGAUGCGAGGGUUAAGCUUUGGUUUCUUGCGCUGCUAAAUUCCAAAUAUUCUCAAGUCGUCGGUUAAAAACGGAGUUUAGACACGCGGAGGGCUACGAGCUACCGAUUUCACCCUUCGGCCGACAGCUACCUCUAGUGGCUGCUGCGGGAAGCAAAACUUAUCUUGCGCAUUUAAAUCUCGCCGUCGAUUUCGCCGCGGUCAACAGGUUUAACCAGCGAGGUAACUCCGAGACGAGGUCACCAACCAAGCAUUAACUCCUUUCUUUCCGCAUAACGACGGCUAUCCUUCCACGGCCACGUGGACAACGUAGCAGAACCCGAAGGCCGAAAAGGCAAGGCGUCCGUUUCCCCAAGCAGGAGAAAGACCGAGCCAGGGCCCAAAGCAACACAAGGACUCCUUCCCUAUGAAGAAGCAUCCCAAAGAUUUUGUUAGACAAAUUACACUUACAAUAUGUAUUUUCAGUACAACUUAAUGUUGGAAAGAAAUUAUGAAAAUCAUGAAUAAUCCAUCAGCAGGAUAAGUCUUCCCAAAUUGAACACAACAGGAUCAAAUUUGGUGUGGUGUGAAAGCUAGCAAAAGAAAUAACAAGGUCAAAAUUGACCCCGGAUCUGGCUGAAAGUGCAGAGGAAAAGAUUCCUGAAGGAAAAUAUACCCCUCUACAUCCCUAAGGGGGAAACUGUUUGGUACUAGCUUGCAGGAUAACUUUCCGAAAACCACAGAGUGAGAGGAAUUAGAUAUGGCAGAAGAAGACAACAAAAGAAAUGUGGAGCCUGAAAAUAAGCCAGAUCAAGCCAUUGACUGCAGAGGAGAGGGAAAAAAUCUAGAAUGCAUUUCUAUGGAAGAAUAUUUAUGAAGAAUGUCAAUGAUCCAGGUCAUGGUUCUCCCAAAAGUGCUUUUCCAAAAGACAACUGGACUUGGGGGUUUUUUCCCUUGAAAAUGUUUUGCUUCUCAUCCAAGAAGCUUCCUUAGGUCAUUCUUCAGAACCAAAGAAGCUCCUUGGAUGAGAAGUGAAACAUUUUCAAGAGAAAAAAUCCAAGUCCAGUUGCCUUUUGGAAAAGCACCUUUGGGACAUUUAUAUGUGAGACACAGUUGAGCAGCAGCUAGGAAUGUUGCUGACUGUUCCAUUCUAAACUCUCUGGUCAUCUGACUCCAAGUAACGCACACACCUUUGGCAUUUGUAAUGUGUGCAUAUAUAAACACCUAUGCAACGCAAGGCAAAUAUAUGGUACACACUAAUAUAUGCCAUAUGUAUUUCAUAUUUAUUCAUUGCAUAAAAUUUUUAAAAAUGAUACUUCCUAUGGCAGUGAUGGCUAACCUUUUCUGGACUGAGUGCCCAAAGCACGUGCGUGCCCAAACCCCCCAAAUGCAAUGUGCACACGACCCCAUGCAUGUGCCCCACCCCCAUGUGUGUGUGUGCCCCCAUGCAUGUCCUGGCCCCCAUGCAUGCAGGGCAGGCCUGCAUGCGGCUCCACCUCCCAUGCAUAUGCGGCAGAGACCCAAAGACCAGCUGGCUGGCGGGAGGCGCACACACAUGCACAGUGGAGCUGAACUGGGGUGAUGACUCACAUGCCAUCAGAGACAGAUGGCGUGCCAUAGGUUCGCCAUCACAGUCCUAUGGUAACUGCUGGUAAAAGGGGUUGCACUCUUCGACUACAUUGUUUGCUGCUUGUUUUGGUUCUGCAUUUUUUUUCCUUUAUUUCUAUACAUUAAAGCUUUUUUAAAAAAAAAAUCAUGUAAUGAUGUAAUUUUUUAUUUAAAGGGCUAAUUAAAAAUUAAACCAAUGGAAAGAAUCUCUAUAUCAGCCGCUCAAUGAAGAGAGAAGAAUGCUAGCAGGCAAUGAUAAAAAGGAAGAAUUGCGGAACUCUUAUUUUUACUUUGCUCCAACAAAACAACCGUGAAGGCAAGAUGAACCAGUUCUGAAGCCAGAGGUUAACAGAACCAGCUCAGGUCUUAUCUGAGUUAAUUUAAAUCUCUCCAGAGCUAGAUAAAGAAGCAGCAUUUUCAUGAUCCCAACAACCCUCUAUGUAUUAUAUUUGAAAAAUGCAGGGGAACUGGUAAUGGCAGGUGAUUGGAAGAAGAAAACUUUGUAUCUGUACCUUCAAAAGGGGGGGCGGGGAAGGAAAAUUUGGAGAAAAACAAUACUCUUCAUCUGAUAUCAAUACCUGAGAAGUCUGUAAAGUUAGAUCAUAAAAAUAUUGCUGUAUAAGCAUCUUGAAAGCAGCCUGUUAACUCAGUAAUCAGCAUGGAUUUAUCAAGAAUAGAUCUUGACAAACUAGCCUGAUUUCAGCUUUUUUGAAUGGGUAACUUCUAGGGGAAUGUUGACUGCAUGAAAUAAAUCUGAUGUCAUCAAAGUGUCAGAUAUCUCAUAGUAUCCUGAUAGUCAAGCUUGCUAGUUGUUAUUUAGAAAUGUUUAAAAAUGUUCAUCAAUAUUGCUCAUCGAACUGGAAUGAGGUAUUAAGUGGAGUGCAACGACUGGCACCCUACUUAAUAGUUGUCACCAUUUUUAUUAGGAUGAGGUAGAAGGAAUGCUUAUCAAAUAUAGAAGGAAUAACUAAUAUCUUAGAAGAUAAAAAUAAUGUUCAACUGGAUCUUGACAGCUUAGAGAAAUGGGAGAAAAUUAACAUAUGACAAUUUAACUUAAGCAUGCAUAAGAGCACCAGCGUGCCUACCGUCCCUGUCCUAAUGUUCCCUUUAAUUGUAUUCAUUUUAUGUAUUCAAUUCAUGCUUAUACUUAUAUAGAUUAUCUAAUACGUACUCGACAAAAUAAAUAAAAAUAAGUAAAUAAAUAACUCAGACAAACCCGAAGUUCUUCACUAAAGAGAAUUCAGUGGGGAAAUAUAGGAUAGGAUGUACGAUUUGAUAGAAGUAGUCAUAAAAAGGAUUUUGGAUUAGUAACUAACUUCAGGCCGAAUGUAACACAGCAUUGUGAGAUAACUGCAGAAUGAAGAAAUGCAAUUUUAGCCUCAUUCAACAGAUUCAAUGCAGUUUCCAAAUCAUGGGAAGCAAUAUCCCACCCAAGCUCAGCAUUGUGGCAGUUCAUGGCACUGUAGCUUAAAGAUAUAACCAAAAUGGAAUAGCUUUGGAGAAGGGCAGUAAAGUAUGAUUAGAAGAGUAAGUAGUCAAGAAAUUUACUACUUAAAGAAUUUACUAGGGAGAUUUGAAAUUAACAUCUAUGAAGAAAGAUUUUAAGACUCAAAGAAUCCUAUGAAGAAGGAGCUGAAUAUAUUUAACAUUGAGAAGUGCAGAGUUAGAGGCAAGGUAGAAGAAGCACUUUUGAAAUACCUGAAAGGGUAUCAUCAGAAGAAAGUCAAGACCUAUUAUCCAUUGUUUCAUAAAGAAGAAGAAAAUGCAAUGAGGGACAUUUGUUACAAGAAAGCUGAUUCCAGUUGAAUGUUAGAAAAUAAUGACCUAAUAAUAAAACCGUUUGAAUUGCCAAU